AGCUGAUUCUUUGGCUGCAUGUGCUCGUUUCUAACAAUCUUUAUCCAAACACCUGUGCACCCUUUGUGAAGAGGGGAAAAGGCAUCUUGCAAGAUGGAUUUUACCGUCUUUUGGUGAUUUUCUUGUGGGUUCUGGAUCCCCCCUUUAUACACAUACACCUUUAUUAUUAUUGAACGUGCUCCUGCCGCAAGGCUUAUAAAAUAUAAUACAACUUUUAACAACGGAUCUCUUGGCUCUCGCAUCGAUGAAGAACGCAGCGAAAUGCGAUAAGUAAUGUGAAUUGCAGAAUUCAGUGAAUCAUCGAAUCUUUGAACGCACCUUGCGCUCCCUGGUAUUCCGAGGAGCACACCUGUUCGAGUGUCGUGAAAUUAUCAGACUGUUGAAGCUUUUUUUGACCCUUGGUCAAAAAGGCAUCUUUAGUCUGGUGUUGGGCUCUGCCGUGCCCUUUUGAUUGGGACGGCUGGCCUUAAAAGCAUUAGCUGACCCUUGUGAGUGUGUUGGUUCUACUCAGUGUGAUAAUCAUUUCUGAACCGCUGAGGACAUCUUCCGAGAUGGCCAAUUUCUUGCUUGGGUUGCUUCUAAUCUGGUUGAUGGAUUGCUAAAUCUGU
rnacentral:rRNA from 1 species